rnacentral:rRNA from 1 species
UUGGCAAAUCCGGGUGGCAAUGGGAAGCCGUGAUGCGGAGCGAAAUAAAGUAGCGAAGUCCGUGAGCCAUGCGUCAAGAAAAGCCGCUAUUGUUUAUACCGUACCCGUACCGUAAACCGACACAGGUGGAUGAGGAGAGAAUCCUAAGGCCGGCGGAAGAAGCAUUGUCAAGGAACUCGGCAAAAUGGCCCCGUAACUUAGGGAUAAGGGGUGCCUGGGAAACCAGGCCGCAGAGAAUAGGCUCAAGCAACUGUUUAGCAAAAACACAGGUCUAUGCGAAACCGAAAGGUGAGGUAUAUGGGCUGACGCCUGCCCGGUGCUGGAAGGUUAAGAGGAGAGGUUAGCGCAAACGCGAAGCUUUGAAUUUAAGCCCCAGUAAACGGCGGCCGUAACUAUAACGGUCCUAAGGUAGCGAAAUUCCUUGUCGGGUAAGUUCCGACCCGCACGAAAGGCGUAAUGAUUUGAGCGCUGUCUCGACAAUGCAUCCGGUGAAAUUGAAGUACCAGUGAAGAUGCUGGUUACCUGCGCCAGGACGGAAAGACCCCAUGGAGCUUUACUCCAGUCUGGUACUGGGACUCGGUAUUGCAUGUACAGGAUAGGUGGGAGGCUAGGAGAUGGUAACGCCAGUUGCCAUGGAGCCGCUGUUGGGAUACCACCCUUGCAGUAUUGGGUUUCUAACCAGCCGCCGUGACCCGGCGGUGGGACAAUGCCAGACGGGGAGUUUGACUGGGGCGGUCGCCUCCGAAAGGGUAUCGGAGGCGCCCAAAGGUUCCCUCAGAAUGGACGGAAACCAUUCGAAGAGUGCAAAGGCAGAAGGGAGCUUGACUGCGACACCGACGGGUGGAGCAGGUACGAAAGUAGGGCUUAGUGAUCCGGUGGUAUUAAGUGGGAAUGCCAUCGCUCAACGGAUAAAAGCUACCCUGGGGAUAACAGGCUUAUCACUCCCAAGAGUUCACAUCGACGGAGUGGUUUGGCACCUCGAUGUCGGCUCAUCGCAUCCUGGGGCUGUAGUAGGUCCCAAGGGUUGGGCUGUUCGCCCAUUAAAGCGGUACGCGAGCUGGGUUCAGAACGUCGUGAGACAGUUCGGUCCCUAUCCGGCGUGGGCGUAGGAUAUCUGAGAGGAGCUGUCCUUAGUACGAGAGGACCGGGAUGGACGGGCCGCUGGUGCAUCGGUUAGACUGCCAAGUCUACGGCCGAGUAGCCAAGCCCGGAAGGGAUAAACGCUGAAGGCAUCUAAGCGUGAAGCCCCCCUUAAGAUGAGAUAUCCCAUUCG